CCGAGAUCGCUCCGCCCCCAAGAUGGCGGCAAGUCUCGCGGUGAGUGUGGUGAGCGCUCGGAGCGGCUCCCUCGCCGAGUCUGUGAAUAUAACCUGCUGUGGGGAAAGACAUCGCGGUGUUUAUGCUGCGUGGGAAAAUAUACCGCGGUGUUCACCUUCAGCUCGUGGUGCAGGUGCUUUCAGUGAGGAGAUCAGCGUGCAUCUGGCACAGCGCUACCACCUGCCCAAGGGAGGGGAUCGAUCCGCCCCGAGCACCUUGAAAGCUGUAAGCAGUGGUGGUCACUGCAAUAUAAGAAAGAUAUUAAACUGUUAGCGCCAAAAGGAUGGCUACGGAAGCGGUGAAGGGCCUUGAGCGGCAGCCGUAUGUGCGGCGGCUGAGGGCACCUGGUCUGUUCAGCUGGAGGGAGGGGAGGCUCACCGCAGCUAAAACUUCCUCGUGAAGGAGGAGGAAGGGAGCAGAACGCGACCCCCGCCUGAGAGCACAGAAUUGUUACGUUUGGAAAAGGCCUUUAGGUUAACCGGGUCAAACUCUCAUGCCAGCAGCCACCACUGUGUUCACCAUUAGAUGGCAGCUCAGGAUGGGAAUACAGCAGCACAUUGCUCACAGAGGUCUCCCGGAGACCAGAACGAAGAGAUUCAUUGAAAUUCAUAUUUAUAAACCUCAACUAGUAUUUACUGCACCAUUAUAAAGUAAUCACAGACUGACUCAUUAAAUAAAAGAUUUUUCCUUCCCAUUUGAGGCAGCAUUUGUGACUAGAACUGCUUGGGAAGCAGCUCAAUAAAAGCAAAAUGUUUCCUGAAAGUGGUGCAGCUCAAGUCUCAUUGAGAAAAAAAUGACAGAAUGGGGGAAAAAAAAAGAAGAGACAUGUCCCUGAGAUGGCAGUAAUCUGGUGUGCAGGCACCUCCCCAGCAUGAGAGCUGGGUUUAACUCUGAGUUUAGAAAUAAGCAGAGGAAGAACUUGCUGCCCAUCUAAAUCCUGUGAACAGGAGGCUGGUUUUGGAUCUCUUGUUUAGGGCUAAAAAGCCCUAAAGCUCUGCAGCUAGGAUUUUACCCAAAUGGGAAGAGGAAAAUAUUUGAGCUAUCACAAAUAUUUACCUGGCUAAAAACUGGAAGAGCUGUAGUUGUUGCUGCAGCUCUCCAUUUACCUGCCUUAAAAUGUGCCUUUUUCUUUGGUUUUCGGGAAGUUCUCUGCAAAGUCUCCAAGCAACUUUAAAGCACUGAUCUCAAAACCUGAAACAUGGUGGGGUGUGGGCAGAUAUUAUUUCUUCUCUUUAUUGUAGACUCACAGAAUGGUUUGGGAGGAACCUUAAAGGUCAUCUCAUCCCACCCCCUGCCAUGGACAGGGACACCUUCCACUGUCCCAAGUUGCUCCAAGCCCCAUCCAGCCUGGCUUUGGACACUUCCAGUGAUCCAGGGGCAGCCACAGCUUCUGUGGAGAACGGUAUAUAGCACUAAGUUUUCAGGUACAAUAAAUUAAAACUGGCUUAAGCUGGGAUCCUCAAACACUCCCACAACCUUACCCACCAUACUGUGGGAAUCCCCUCUCUGAACACACCUGAAUGCAACUCUUCUUCAUCCCUUCUGCCCUUCCCUCUGCACCUCUGUUUUCUACUGGGGCAGGAACCCGGUCUUUACAUGGGAAGCACCUUUACACACAGCGUGGCAGCAGUGCACAAAGCAAGGAGACGUUCAAGGAAAGCUGGAGGAGAGGUGUGAAACACAAGUACUUGACACACGGUGGGGAUUGUCACCUGCGUUCAUCAAUCAAACCCAAAAUAAAUACAUUUUCUGUUUUGCUCA